GCUAUGUGUAAGAUGCUUGCGUACCAUGUUGGUGAGAUCAAUUUAAUUUAAUUUCGCAAAGCACCUAAUGGAUAAUUUGUUAUGUCGUGAUGGAUCAUUGUAUGUGUUGUGCAUACUGAUCAUUGUGCAUUCCGUUGAUCUGGUUACUGUUUUAUGCCAGUUUUUGAUCUAUCCAUAUUUGUUAAAUCUUCACUAAAGCUGAACAUCAUGUUUCUUUUGAAGAGGAUGACUAGAUGACACAACCAGGGGAAGCUAGUUGGAGGGGAUGCGGCUCACCACGAUGACGAUCAUGGCGUAGCAGGGUGAGCUCUCCUCCUCUGGUUUGCAAGUCCCCGCCCUCUCCUGGGCGUGUUGGCCUCACUGCUCCACCGACCACAAGCUCCUCCUCUUCCUCUCCAAAAAAGCCAGGAAGAGGACAUCCAGGUUAGCAGAGAAGCUGGCACACAUGUAGCAGCAGGAGCCUGCUGCAUCAUUUUCACCUCUUGGAAGCUGGAAGAAGAAAACCCAUCUGUAUGCAUGAUGCAGCCUUGGUUGCGCCUGCCGGCUGAUAUAUCAGAUCCGGCGGAAUUUUUGUAAUUCAUGUUGUGUUGUUAUUGGUUAACCAUCAGUGUUUGUCCCAGAACUGAAAAUUGUUUGAUGCCGUCCAUGGAUCUGCUGGAUUUGCCUUUGA